UGUGCGAAACCAGUAAAUAAUGCUACUGGUUUGCCUGGUGGCCUUUUGUUUGGAGAGAUGUUUGGAAACAUUUCAAAGCCGUCCCAGAAAAGGGAUAUGGGUCUGGGACGCGUGGUGUUCUUCUGUGGGCUCUUGACUUGCACUCACAGCUCCACAGGUGCCUUCUCUAUUGCGCAAGACUGGAGAUGUUGAGCCAGGUUUUUCUGACAAGAGAGCUGGCAUGUCUCCUGCCUUUUGAGUUAUCUCACUUGAAUGAAUGAAGCCCAGAAGGAACUUUCCAAGGGUCCGUGGUUUUACCCUACACCGCUCAGCUCCUGUUCCUAGUUCUUAGGGCUCGGUCAAGCUCUAGGAGCCUAGGUGUUUCUGCCUAACCCACUUCUCCUUUGCUCCUUUUUAAUAUCAAAUCCAUGACCUCAAUUGAGAGGCAUUCUUUCUACACAGAAAGAAAAAAAAUAGUGAUUCUUGAGUCACUUUGAUGUCAUUUGAAGUCACUUUAACAAGAACAUUACAAGGAUGAAAGGAUUAAAAUAAAGAAUAUUGUCCUCCAGAACUUAUGCCCCUGGAGGGAAACUUCCUUUUGUCCUUUAGGGUGGCUGUAUGGCUUGCAUGAAGAAGCUCUGAAGCUUGAGAUAGUCAUUUAUGAAACUCUUAAGUUGAAAUCCUGAAAUGAUUUUAGACUUCAGUCUGGGUGCGGAAACCCCAGUGUUGACAGGCACUGGGGAACAGAAUAGGGGGAGGUGUCCUUUCUGAAGCCACAAACUGGAAAAAUGAAAUGGUGUUCCCAGUAAAAGGCUGCUGCGCUGUUAAGAAACGCUAUCUUUAUCCUUUGGUGUGGUCAUUAUUAAAUCUCAUUUUAAAGUAGCUUAGACCUAUUUAUGAAUAGCCACAUGUGUAGUGGUAUUGAUCAGAGAAGGUUGACCAUGUAUGUUGUUGAGAUGUAUGUUGUUGGGUGUCCUGACCUCAAGGGAUGGGGACAAAAAUUCUUCUCUUUGUAGAUUUAUGUUUUUAAUUCUAAGUGAUCCCGAAAAAAUAAAACAAUAAUGCAGAGAAGAUGAAGCAGCAGUUUAGGUUUAAUUCUAAGGACUCUUAAGAAUUUGGGAAUUAACUUGUGGGAAUUGAAUACCCUCUAACUGUUGUGGUCCAGGAUGCGGCACCAAGCUGUGGGAGUUGGGUGCCACUGAUGCACGAGAGUCCUGUUAGGUCCAUAGUUUCCAUGAAUCACACCCUGGCUUGCCUAGAUCUUCUUCUAAUGUCUGGCCACUAUAUUUCUGUCCAUUACCCAUCUUCCAGAAUUAGAAAGCCUUCUUUCAUUUUUGAUAGUUUCUUUCUCUCUGGUAUCCUUUAACAUCACCAAAAAAUGCCUGAGGUUAAUGGGUACUAGGUUCCCUGCCUCAUCUGGAACUCUGUCCUCUGGGCUCAAUGAUAGAGUGUCACAGACAGGUGGGAACCUGGGGUCAUGUUCUUCGACAGCAUAUGCCAAGUACUCUCUAGCUGAGGCCAUAAGUGGAAAGCAAUAAACUUCAGAGACCAGAUGAGAUCUAAGAAGGAGCUCCAAGUGGUACCCAGCUCUGUUGGAGAUGAGACUAUGAUGAGAGAAUGGGAUGAAAGCCCAAUGUGGAUGUUAGUUUCUAGGUUGAUGGUAACUGGAAGAGCUUCUGAGUGAUGCCCAUGUAACAGAAGAGAGUGAGUCACUUGUGGACCGAUGGACACUGCCUCUCCGAGUGCUUAGAUGAAGCCCUUCAUCACUAUUGCUACUUAAGUCAGUCUGACCGUUGCCUUAAAGGUAAACUGUAUUCAGAAAAAAUGGGAAAAAAAACUCAGAAAAGUAUCAAAGCAGAAACCCAGAUAAGAAUAUAGACAGGGAAUUAAAAAUGGGAGAGAAGUUAGGCUCCAGCAACAGAGAUGAUGGGGGUCAGGAGAAGAUGAAAUAAUCAAGAAAAAGAGGAACACCCUAAGGAAAAGAACAAUGGGAAGGAAGUCCAGAAUGCUCUACGAAACCAGAACAGAACCAGGAGAUGAAACCUUUUCCUCUCCCUCUACUUUCUUCCUGUCCUCCUCCUCCUUACCUUCAAACCCUUGCCAAGUGCUGAGUAGGCACAGGGAUAGCUGUGACAGUCUCCUGUUGCAUGGUGGAAGGAGUGCCUUUUGUAGAAAGAAUGAAAUUGUGUCUCCACUGACUGCCUUUCCUGGGCAUAGAGGAGGAGAGGGGCAAAGACACCCAAAGUCCCCAAAAUGAAGGAGGAGCUAUCUCAGCAACUCUUGACUUUAGUUUAGAGAGCAGCUGAUCUGUGUCAGCAAGGGACUCACAGCAUCAUUGUUGGUUGCCUUUGGCCAGUAACUGGGACCGUUACAAGCACAGAACAGGCAACUGGAAUGAGCCGGGUGGGAGGAGCCCUGGGUUGUGGUUGGGCCCACAGUCAUUGACAGGGAGAGCUGUGCAUUUCUUUUCUCAAAGUGCCCUCCAUGUUGCUGUGGGUUGUCUAGUAGCAGCUCGCCUUGUCUUUUAUUGUGGUCAUCAUGAAGCGGGGAGGGGAGAAACGGAUAAGCCUUAUUAGAGGUGGGGGAAAAGCUACCUUGCAUUCCCAAACUAACAAAACCAGAAAGCAAAGGCAAAGAAUUUGGCAUCUAAUGCCUGGGCUCCUGCAGGCUGGGAAACCCGAGCAGCACAGCAAAACCUUACUGUUGUAGGGGAAGAUAUUGUUGAGAGAUGGAGGGGGGUCCUUGCUGAGGCUGGACUUUCUCUUAUAGAGUCUUUUUUGGAGUUGUGUGUGUUUGCUAUUUUACGAGCUCUGAAGACCUAUCCACACAGUACCCACAGGAUAUGAGGGAGCCCAAGGAUCAUGUUCCAUCUAGCUUGGAACGGUAAAGCCGGCCCUGAGAAAUGAGUUGCGAGCUUCCAGAGUUUCGGGAGCCUAGUGCUUGACUUGGUCUGGGAAACUCUUUCUGCCAUGGUCUUGCAAUGGACAGGUCUCCUGGCCAGAGUUCAAAAUGAAUGGAGACCAAAGCACAGACAGGCACUACCGUUAGUGGUAUCACUGUCAUUUUACCCAAGGGCUUGAGGAACGUUUGCUGUUCAUGGUUCUGUAAUGAGGGAUGGUGUUCUAGAGAGGUAGCUACUCACAUGGCAGCAGCACCAUGUUUUUUUCUCUUUGGCCAUGGGCCUUUGAAACGUUCAGAUUGCCACUAUUCUUGGACGGCGUCUAGCUGCCAAGGACCCAACCCAGGUUCACAACCGUUGUGAUGGUGUCGAGCUGUACACCCACUCUCUCUUCGUUCCUUCCAGCAGAUGUCAUAAGAGCUGAGCACCAUAAGGGUGACUAGCUUAUGGGUUCCUCCCUUGAUUUCUCUGGAUGAUUGUGUAUAGAGGCAGUAUGCAAAUUUCCCGACAUCUGAAUCCUUCAUAAAGUUGGAAAGUUUGUUUUCCAGGUCUUGUAUUUUCCCCUGGGUGAACGAUUCUUUUCCUUUGCCUCUUCUCCCAACACUCUGCUGUCUUCUAUGAACUGACUAUUUCACAGCUACUGUGCAAAAGGAAGUCUCAACCUCCCUAACAAACCUGGGUGACUUGCUGCUGCUGAUUUCAGGUUGGGUUUGGUUUGAAAUGGAGUUGGAUUCUCUAUUUCAAAGUUAGCAAUGUCAAAUGACAGGCUUGCUGUUGGCAGUCCUCGGAGAAUGGCCUGCAACUUUACAGAGUCCUGGGGGGCUUUCGCUGACAUGCCCAUAUUGAAAGGGUUUGACACCGAGUUUCCCCUUGAGGGAUAGCAGAAGCCCUGAUCCCUACCCUAAACACUCUGCACUUGAACUGAGUACACAAGUCAGUGUUCUUGUUCUGGGCCACGUUCAUGUUGGAAAAUCUCCUGAUGUCUUUGGACUUUGGUUUCCUCAAGGUCAAAAUUGGGAUAAUGAUACCCACCUCACAGGGUUGUUGUGAGGACUGAAUAUGCUCUACAAUCUUCAUGUUAGUAAACUACGAUUGAAAAGCUAGCUUUAACCAGCUCGGGCAGUGGCUCAGAGUGGUAGGAGCACCUAACGCUGAGUGCCUUGUGCCAAGGUCGCAGGUUGGAAUCCUGCUUGCGACUGCUGUCGAUCGUCAUAUAGAUAUGAUCUAUAUGCUGAAUCGAUGAUGAAAUUGGCAUAUCGCUGCUGAUUAAUAAUCGGAAAAAAAAAAGAAAAGAAAAGCUAGCUUUAAACAUGCAUUGGCCAUAUAGAGAACAUGUAUGCAGAUAUUACUGCCACUGUACAUGUCGUUGCAUGCUGCCUGGGCUAAUCUCUGCACUAAAAUGCCUAUAUGUAAAUGUGGAUAUAUAGAAAGGUUUGCAGCACUCUUCAGUUUCCUAAAGGGGGCCCCAGACCUUCAAAAUCUGGAAGCCAGUGUUUCAGACUUGAAGAAGCUGGAUUCAAAAAUAGUGAUUACUUCUAGAAGUUUCCUUUGAACAUGACCACAGAACUGAUUGCAAUAAUUUUAGAGGCAGUUCAUUAACAUGUCCUGAUUUUUCAGUAUUUAGUUUGUGUGCUUUGUGAUGUCAAGGGUUGAACCCAAGAUUUUAUGUAUGCUAGAUGCGUUCUAGACUUGGCCACAUCCCCAGUUCAUUAUGUGGCCUGAUGACAGAGCAUGUGAGGCUGAGAAUGCCAGAUGUGCCCAUGGAUUGCCAUCAGAUUAUCCAACUGUCAUUCAUUCAAAGCUGGGCAUAAUGCAAAACUAUUCAAUACUUGGCCCAAAGAAGUUUGAUGUGACUCAGUCUGUUGACUCAUUUGAGAAGAAUGUGAUCUGGAGAAUUGCCGGAGACUCUUAUUUUGAUCCACUAGGUGAAACCAAAACGAAACUUGGAAGGAUUAUCAUGGCUGAAAUAAGUGAACUUCAAAACGAGGAGGCAAUCAGACUAGCCAACAGGGAACACAUGAGCCUGUCGGGUCGGGAGACAACAUUGGAGCCGGAAGAAAGCUACCGGGCUGCUAUUUAUUGUUGAAGGCUCUGACUCCGAGAGACACUCAAGCUCCGCAUUCCAUUUUGGGACCAACAUUUUAGAGCAUGCAGUCCUUCCGGGAGCGAACUUUCUCACAGGAGCGAGUGCUGUGUGAUGUGGCUGGUCCGGCUUUUUUGGGAAACAGCCAUGCAGAUGCCUCAGGACUCAAACUUGACUCCUUGGAUUGAGAGAGAGAGACACCAGCGGAGAUGUGACUCUUUAGAAGUGGACAAGCUAUUGAUGAACCGGUUGCCAAGCCUUUAAGCCUUCUUCUUGGAGCACAUUUAACUGACAUUUAGGAAGGAUUACAUCUCAGGUCCCAUGGCAGAAGAUGAGUGGUCACCAGCCAGAGAUCCAGACAAGAGCCUCAGGAUGUGAUAUCUGGAAGUUUUUCUGACAUGGAAAGGGGUGUGGGGGAGGGCAGGUAUCACUCUGCACAGCAGCAUGGGAUUGGCAGAUUCUAUGACAUGGAUGCUUCUUGGGAAUGAUGGGUCACUGCUCGUAGAACUCUAUGCUGUCACCUAUCCAGCUUGGAGGUGCAUACAUGUUGCACCUUCUGAAGGGAUCUGCCAACUCACAAUGUAUUUCAAAAUGAUAUUAGAACACUAUUCUGUGUACCUUGAUGACAGACAAGCUGAAGAAAAUGUGUAUAAAAUAUCUUCCAAACAUAAACGAAAUGUUUGGUUCUGUACAUAGUAGAUGAUGAUGGUCUCUUCAUAUUAUUUGAGUGCAAAGAUGUUAUAUUUGAGUCUUUAACUUAAGAAGCACAGUGAUAGCUGUUCUAUAUUAACCAGUGUAGGCUUCUUAGUUGCUGGUUGUGCCAGAGUCCAUCCUAACUGGGAAAAAACUAGUGGAGCGUGGAGACCUUUAUCUCUGGCCCAUUGGGUUGUGUUGUACCUUAGCUACUAUUCUAUUGCUGCAAUGAAACAUCAUGACCAAGGCAACUUAUAAAAGCAAGCAUUUAAUUGAGGUCUUGUUUAUGGUUUCAGAGGGAUAGCCCGUGACUAUUAUGGUGGGAAACUUGGCAGCAGGCAGGUAAGCAUGGAACAGCAGCAGUAGU